rnacentral:rRNA from 1 species
GAUGAACGCUGGCGGCGUGCCUAAUACAUGCAAGUCGAGCGAACGGACGAGAAGCUUGCUUUUCUGAUGUUAGCGGCGGACGGGUGAGUAACACGUGGAUAACCUACCUAUAAGACUGGGAUAACUUCGGGAAACCGGGGCUAAUACCGGAUAAUAUUUUGAACCGCAUGGUUCAAAAGUGAAAGACGGUCUUGCUGUCACUUAUAGAUGGAUCCGCGCUGCAUUAGCUAGUUGGUAAGGUAACGGCUUACCAAGGCAACGAUGCAUAGCCGACCUGAGAGGGGGGAUGGUCACACUGGAACUGAGACACGGUCCAGACUCCUACGGGAGGCAGCAGUAGGGAAUCUUCCGCAAUGGGCGAAAGCCUGACGGAGCAACGCCGCGUGAGUGAUGAAGGUCUUCGGAUCGUAAAACUCUGUUAUUAGGGAAGAACAUAUGUGUAAGUAACUGUGCACAUCUUGACGGUACCUAAUCAGAAAGCCACGGCUAACUACGUG